UCCCGGUUGAUCCUGCCAGAGGUUACUGCUAUUGGUGUUCGACUAAGCCAUGCAAGUCAUAUGUUCCUCGUGAACAUGGCAUACUGCUCAGUAACACGUGGAUAACCUGCCCUCGGGUCUGGGAUAACCCCGGGAAACUGGGGAUAAUACCGGAUAGCGCAUAUGUGCUGGAAUGCUUUAUGCGUAAAACGGAUUCGUCCGCCCAAGGAUGGGUCUGCGGCCUAUCAGGUAGUGGUGGGUGUAAUGUACCUACUAGCCAACGACGGGUACGGGUUGUGAGAGCAAGAGCCCGGAGAUGGAUUCUGAGACAUGAAUCCAGGCCCUACGGGGCGCAGCAGGCGCGAAAACUUUACAAUGCGGGAAACUGUGAUAAGGGAACACCGAGUGCCAGCAUCAUAUGCUGGCUGUCCAGAUGUGUAAACUACAUCUGUUACAAGGGCCGGGCAAGACCGGUGCCAGCCGCCGCGGUAACACCGGCGGCCCGAGUGGUGACCGUUAUUAUUGGGUCUAAAGGGUCCGUAGCCGGUUUGGUCAGUCCUCCGGGAAAUUUGAUAGCUCAACUAUUAGACUUUCGGGGGAUACUGCCAGGCUUGGAACCGGGAGAGGUAAGAGGUACUACAGGGGUAGGAGUGAAAUCUCGUAAUCCCUGUGAGACCACCUGUGGCGAAGGCGUCUUACCAGAACGGGUUCGACGGUGAGGGACGAAAGCCGGGGGCACGAACCGGAUUAGAUACCCGGGUAGUCCCAGCCGUAAACUAUGCUCGCUAGGUGUCAGGCAUGGCGCGACCGUGUCUGGUGCCGCAGGGAAGCCGUGAAGCGAGCCACCUGGGAAGUACGGCCGCAAGGCUGAAACUUAAAGGAAUUGGCGGGA
rnacentral:rRNA from 1 species